UUGUGAAUGAUAAAGAUAUACUUGAGACGAUCCAAUUUGUAUUAGUACAAAGUGGCCAAUUUAUGUAAGUAAAUUGAGAAAUGACAUUCUAAGUGAGUUAGGAUGCCACGACAAUUGUAGAACACACAGUGUUUAACAAGUAACCAAUGAGAAUUUCUGAUCUAUCAAUCAGUUGGUAGUAUCGAGGACUACCAAGAUUAUAACGGAUAACGAGGAAUUGGGGUUCGACAUCGGAGAGGGAGCUUUACAGAUGGCUACCACUUCUAAGGAAGGCAGCAGGCGCGUAAAUUACCCACUUUCGAAUUGAAGAGGUAGUGACGACACAUAACUCUAGAGUUGAGUAAAAUCAAUUCUUGAAGGAAUGAGUAGGAGGUAAAUUCUCCUACGAAAUCAAUUGGAGGGCAAGUCUGGUGCCAGCAGCCGCGGUAAUUCCAGCUCCAAUAGUGUAUAUUAAAGUUGCUGUGAUUAAAACGCUCGUAGUUGAAUUAAAAUGUGAUUUUAUACAUUUUGAAGACUUUACAUUAAGUGAAGUUUCUAGAAAUGUUAAAUUAAAAUCAAAGAAGGAGACAAUUCAAGUAAUUGAGUUGUCAUUACUUUGAAUAAAAUAAGGUGUUUAAAGCAAAACAUUAUGUUAAUGAAUAUUCAAGCAUGGGACAAUGCUGAGGAGAUGUCAAUUAGACAUUUCGAGAGAAGGAUUAAAAGGAACAAUUGGGGUGAUUCAGAAAAUAACGGGAGAGGUGAAAAUCCAUGAUCGCUAUAAGAUGCACGAGAGCGAAAGCAUUUCACUCAACUGGGUCCAUUAAUCAAGAACGAAAGUUAGGGGAUCGAAGACGAUCAGAUACCGUCGUAGUCCUAACUAUAAACGAUGUCAACCAAGGAUUGGAUGAAAUUCAGAUGUACAAAGAUGAAGAAACAUUGUUUCUAAAUCCAAGUAUAUCAAUACUACUUUGUUCAGAACUUAAAGAGAAAUCUUGAGUUUAUGGACUUCAGGGGGAGUAUGGUCACAAGGCUGAAACUUAAAGGAAUUGACGGAAGGGCACACCAGGAGUGGAGCCUGCGGCUUAAUUUGACUCAACACGGGAAAACUUACCAAGACCGAACAGUAGAAGGAAUGACAGAUUAAGAGUUCUUUCAUGAUUUAUUGGGUAGUGGUGCAUGGCCGUUCUUAGUUGGUGGAGUGAUUUGUCAGGUUAAUUCCGGUAACGAACGAGACUGAAACCUAUUAAUUAGUUUUCUGCCUAUAAGACAGAAAUGUUCGCAAGAACAGGUGCGUAAGUACCACUUCUUAAAGGGACACAUUUCAAUUGUCCUAUUUUAAUUGUUAGUUAUCUAAUUUCGAUUAGAACUCUUUUAACGUGGGAAAAAGAAAAAGG
rnacentral:rRNA from 1 species